UACGUAGGGGGCGAGCGUUGUCCGGAUUCAUUGGGCGUAAAGGGUGCGUAGGUGGCGCUGUAAGUCGGGUGUGAAAUUUCGAGGCUCAACCUCGAGACGCCACCCGAUACUGCUGUGGCUAGAGUCCGGUAGGGGAGCGUGGAAUUCCUGGUGUAGCGGUGAAAUGCGCAGAUAUCAGGAGGAACACCAGCGGCGAAGGCGGCGCUCUGGGCCGGUACUGACGCUGAGGAGCGAAAGCGUGGGGAGCAAACAGG
rnacentral:rRNA from 1 species